GACGAACCGUGCGAACGUUAUUCGGAAUCACUGGGCUUAAAGCGCGUGUAGGCGGAUCGCCGCGUCGGCUGCUGAAAUCCCCCGGCUCAACCGGGGAACGGGCACCGAUACGGGCGGUCUCGAGGGGGGUAGGGGGGUCUGGAACUUCCGGGGGAGCGGUGAAAUGCGUUGAGGUCGGAAGGAACGCCCGUGGCGAAAGCGAGGCCCGGGACCCUUACUGACGCUGAGACGCGAGAGCCAGGGGAGCGAACGGG
rnacentral:rRNA from 1 species